UACGAGGGGGGCUAAUGUUGUUCGGAAUCACUGGGCGUAAAGGGAGCGUAGGCGGGUGUUUAAGUUAGGUGUUUAAUCCCAGGGCCCAACCCUGGUCAGGCACCUAAAACUGGACAUCUUGAAUAGUGGAGAGGACGAUGGAAUUGGGGGUGUAGCGGUGGAAUGCGUAGAGAUCCCCAAGAACACCAGUUGCGAAGGCGGUCGUCUGGACACAUAUUGACGCUGAGGCGCGAAAGCUAGGGGAGCAAACGGG
rnacentral:rRNA from 1 species